UGCCAGCAGCCGCGGUAAUACGGAGGGUGCAGCGUUAUCGGAAUUACUGGGCGUAAAGCGCGCGUAGGUGGCUUGAUAAGCCGGGUUGUGAAAGCCCCGGGCUCAACCUGGGAACGGCAUCGGGAACUGUCAAGCUAGAGUGCAGGAGAGGAAGGUAGAAUUCCCCGGUGUAGCGGUGAAAUGCGUAGAGAUCGGGAGGAAUACCAGUGGCGAAGGCGGCUUUCUGGACUGACACUGACACUGAGGUGCGAAAGCGUGGGUAGCAAACAGGAUUAGAUACCCUGGUAGUCCACGCCGUAAACGAUGUCGACCAGCCGUUGGGUGCCUAGCGCACUUUGUGGCGAAGUUAACGCGAUAAGUCGACCGCCUGGGGAGUACGGCCGCAAGGUUAAAACUCAAAUGAAUUGACGGGGGCCCGCACAAGCGGUGGAGCAUGUGGUUUAAUUCGAUGCAACGCGAAGAACCUUACCUACUCUUGACAUCCUGCGAAUUCGGUAGAGAUACCUUAGUGCCUUCGGGAACGCAGAGACAGGUGCUGCAUGGCUGUCGUCAGCUCGUGUUGUGAAAUGUUGGGUUAAGUCCCGUAACGAGCGCAACCCUUGUCCUUAUUUGCCAGCGCGUAAUGGCGGGAACUCUAAGGAGACUGCCGGUGACAAACCGGAGGAAGGUGGGGACGACGUCAAGUCAUCAUGGCCCUUACGAGUAGGGCUACACACGUGCUACAAUGGUCGGUACAAAGGGUUGCGAGCUCGCGAGAGUCAGCCAAUCCCGAAAAGCCGAUCUCAGUCCGGAUCGGAGUCUGCAACUCGACUCCGUGAAGUCGGAAUCGCUAGUAAUCGUAGAUCAGAAUGCUACGGUGAAUACGUUCCCGGGCCUUGUACACACCGCCCGUCACACCAUGGGAGUGGACUGCACCAGAAGUGGUUAGCCUAACGCAAGAGGGCGAUC
rnacentral:rRNA from 1 species